rnacentral:rRNA from 1 species
UUACUUACGGGGCGCAGCAGUGAGGAAUAUUGGUCAAUGGGCGGAAGCCUGAACCAGCCAAGUCGCGUGAGGGAAUAAGGCCCGACGGGUCGUAAACCUCUUUUGCCGGGGAGCAAGGGCCGGGACGCGUCCCGGCCCGGAGAGUACCCGGAGAAAAAGCAUCGGCUAACUCCGUGCCAGCAGCCGCGGUAAUACGGAGGAUGCGAGCGUUAUCCGGAUUUAUUGGGUUUAAAGGGUGCGUAGGCGGGCUUUUAAGUCAUCGGUAAAAAUUUGGGGCU